rnacentral:rRNA from 1 species
CCUACGGGAGGCAGCAGUGGGGAAUAUUGCGCAAUGGGCGAAAGCCUGACGCAGCGACGCCGCGUGAGGGAUGAAGGUCUUCGGAUCGUAAACCUCUGUCAGCAGGGAAGAACGGUCACUUUGCUAAUCAGCAGUGCAUUGACGGUACCUGCAAAGGAAGCACCGGCUAACUCCGUGCCAGCAGCCGCGGUAAUACGGAGGGUGCGAGCGUUACUCGGAAUUACUGGGCGUAAGGCGCUCGUAGGCGGUAUGGCAAGUCAAGGGUGAAAUCCCCGCGCUCAACGUGGGAACUGCCUUUGAAACUGGCAAACUGGAGUGUGUGAGAGGAUAGUGGAAUUCCAGGUGUAGGAGUGAAAUCCGUAGAUAUCUGGAGGAACAUCAGUGGCGAAGGCGACUAUCUGGCACAUAACUGACGCUGAGGAGCGAAAGCGUGGGUAGCAAACAGGAUUAGAUACCCCAGUAGUC